GACCUCCCUAAAGAGUCGUUCGAGACCAGGACGUUGAUAGGUCGGGUGUGCAAGCGCUGUGAGGCGUUUAGCUGACCGAUACUAAUUGCUCGUGCAGCUUGAUCCUAUAACC
rnacentral:rRNA from 1 species